UUCCUACGGGGGGCAGCAGUGAGGAAUAUUGCGCAAUGGCCGAAAGGCUGACGCAGCAACGCCGCGUGAGGGAUGAAGUACUUUGGUAUGUAAACCUCUGUUAGAGGGGACGAACAGCUGAAUGAUUAAUAUGUGUUCAGUUUGACGGUACCUUCAGAGAAAGCCCCGGCUAACUCCGUGCCAGCAGCCGCGGUAAUACGGGGGGGGCAAGCGUUGUCCGGAAUUAUUGGGCGUAAAGGGCGCGUAGGUGGGAGAGCAAGUCUGGGGUGCAAACGUAUGGCUUAACUGUAAGCUUGCCCUGGAUACUACUAUUCUUGAGUUCGGGAGAGGGAAGUGGAAUUCCUGGUGUAGCGGUGAAAUGCGUAGAUAUCAGGAAGAACACCGGUGGCGAAGGCGGCUUCCUGGCCCGAUACUGACACUGAGGCGCGAAAGUGCGGGGAGCAAACAGGAUUAGAUACCCGAGUAGUCAU
rnacentral:rRNA from 1 species